rnacentral:rRNA from 1 species
GAUUGAACGCUGGCGGCAUGCCUUACACAUGCAAGUCGAACGGCAGCACGGGAGUAAUCCUGGUGGCGAGUGGCGAACGGGUGAGUAAUACAUCGGAACGUGCCCAGUAGUGGGGGAUAGCCCGGCGAAAGCCGGAUUAAUACCGCAUACGACCUACGGGUGAAAGCGGGGAUCGCAAGACCUCGCGCUAUCGGAGCGGCCGAUGUCAGAUUAGGUUGUUGGUGGGGUAAAGGCCACCAAGCCGACGAUCUGUAGCUGGUCUGAGAGGACGACCAGCCACACUGGGACUGAGACACGGCCCAGACUCCUACGGGAGGCAGCAGUGGGGAAUUUUGGACAAUGGGGCAACCCUGAUCCAGCCAUGCCGCGUGCGGGAAGAAGGCCUGGUGUAACGC